UUAACACAUGCAAGUCGAACGGUGAACACGGAGCUUGCUCUGUGGGAUCAGUGGCGAACGGGUGAGUAACACGUGAGCAACCUGCCCCUGACUCUGGGAUAAGCGCUGGAAACGGGCGUCUAAUACUGGAUAUGUGACGUGACCGCAUGGUCUGCGUCUGGAAAGAAUUUCGGUUGGGGAUGGGCUCGCGGCCUAUCAGCUUGUUGGUGAGGUAAUGGCUCACCAAGGCGUCGACGGGUAGCCGGCCUGAGAGGGUGACCGGCCACACUGGGACUGAGACACGGCCCAGACUCCUACGGGAGGCAGCAGUGGGGAAUAUUGCACAAUCGGCGCAAGCCUGAUGCAGCAACGCCGCGUGAGGGACGACGGCCUUCGGGUUGUAAACCUCUUUUAGCAGGGAAGAAGCGAAAGUGACGGUACCUGCAGAAAAAGCGCCGGCUAACUACGUGCCAGCAGCCGCGGUAAUACGUAGGGCGCAAGCGUUAUCCGGAAUUAUUGGGCGUAAAGAGCUCGUAGGCGGUUUGUCGCGUCUGCUGUGAAAUCCGGAGGCUCAACCUCCGGCCUGCAGUGGGUACGGGCAGACUAGAGUGCGGUAGGGGAGAUUGGAAUUCCCUGGUGUAGCGGUGGAAUGCGCAGAUAUGCAGGAGGAACCACCCGAUUGGCGAAGGCAGAUUCUUCUGGGCCCGUAACUA
rnacentral:rRNA from 1 species